rnacentral:rRNA from 1 species
CCUACGGGAGGCAGCAGUGGGGAAUAUUGCACAAUGGGGGAAACCCUGAUGCAGCGACGCCGCGUGAGUGAAGAAGUAAUUCGUUAUGUAAAGCUCUAUCAGCAGGGAAGAAAAUGACGGUACCUGAGUAAGAAGCCCCGGCUAACUACGUGCCAGCAGCCGCGGUAAUACGUAGGGGGCAAGCGUUACCCGGAUUUACUGGGUGGAAAGGGAGCGUAGACGGGAGUGCAAGUCUGGAGUGAAAGGCGGGGGCUCAACCCCCGGACUGCUCUGGAAACUGUACGGCUGGAGUGCAGGAGAGGUAAGUGGAAUUCCUAGUGUAGCGGUGAAAUGCGUAGAUAUUAGGAGGAACACCAGUGGCGAAGGCGACUUACUGGACUGUAACUGACGUUGAGGCUCGAAAGCGUGGGGAGCAAACAGGAUUAGAUACCCUAGUAGUC